rnacentral:tRNA from 1 species
GCGAUCGCCGCGCAAAGGUAGCGCAAAAAGGUAUACCCUUUGGUGCGGGUUCAAUUCCCGCCGAUCGUU